GCCUCCCGAGUACCUGGUACUAGAGGGAUUAGUCAGUGUCGGGGCUAAGACCAGUCCUGGCCAGGGCAUCAACAGGAUAGUCUCUGGAGGCCGGGAUUCACGGAGGGUCGUCCAGGAGGAAGAAACUGCAGGUGGAGGGCCGGGCAAGCAGCGCGGGAUCCCAGGUUCAGGCCUGCACGGACGGUGUGCCAGUAAGAUUGGGGAAGAUGCCAGGUGAUAGAAUCCACCCUGCCUCUGACAGCAUCCAAUCUGGAGCAAAGGCUUCUUUCAACCUUCCCCCAAGCUCCCAAUACAAGCCCAAAUUCUGGAACAAGUCCUUUCCAACACCUCCUUCAGAGAAGCUCCCUGGCUCCAGGCAGUGCUUGCUCCCCUCACUGCAGCAGGAAGCCUAACUUGCGAACUGCAGGUGUGCUCCAGGUGGUCACUGGAUGCAAGUUUCUUUUGAUUUCUCCUGCUUAGAAAUGGUGCGAGAACUUUGGAUGUGGAACGUGGAGGAGGAGGAACACGAAGUGGGGAUCUGCACUUGGGGUGGUCAGCACUGCGGAUGCCCAGCAAAGUCACUGCCUGGUCCACAUCCCGGAGGGGUCUCUGCGCCUCAGUCGGCAUCGCAGCUGAUGGUGAAACUUUUGGUGUGGCAGAAGAGUGUCCACAAACUUCGGAAGGUAUCCGCUACAUCCUCCAUAGCCGUGUAUCCCUGCCCAGGGCAAUCUUCUGGGGGAGCGGAAAGUCCUGCUCCCGGGCCAGGGCUGGCUGGCUGGAGCCACUUGUGCGGCGCAGCCCUGGCGGAGGUUCAGGCGGCCCCGGUGUCGCAAGCGGCUGUGAGUGAUGCCUCCCUGGGGCCGGAGUGGUCCCAGGAAGGCUGCAGACCAGGGCUGACCAGCGGGCAGCAUGGUGGCCGCGAUGGAAGGUGACGGGGUUCGCAGCGCCAGGGGACCCAGCAGAGCCCGAGCCCGGGCAUCCCGCAUCUCCAGCAGCAUCGCAGGUAGGCCUGGUGCUGGUGAAGUGGCGGCCAGUGCACAAGGCCUACGACCCAGUCCCAGAGGCCAGCCCAUUGUCAGCUAACUUCAGGAACCCCGGGCCAGCUGAGGCCCCGGGCCCCAUGGGCAAGACAAAGGGCAGAGGGUCCGCAGGCGGGGCCGAGUGCAGGCAGUGCAGGCCUGGCUCCACCGCCGCGGAGCUCGCAGGGCGCAGCAGGCAUCGGGCAGUGACCAGGGCUUCCAGAGGAGGCUGUGCACCCCUGCAAAGGCUCCUGCCCUGCGUCCAGCCUAUCCGCGGGGACUCCACGUGCACCCCCUC
ensembl:lncRNA FAM182B family with sequence similarity 182 member B